rnacentral:tRNA from 1 species
GCGGGUGUGGCGGAAUGGCAGACGCGCUAGGUUUAGGCCCUAGUGUCCGGAAGGAUGUGCAGGUUCAACUCCUGUCACCCGUAC